GUGUUGAUCACCCUGUGUAUCUGGUUUCUCUGUUUCCCCUCUCCUUUGGUCUAUUCAUGGAGUCUUGUUUGUGUCUUCUCUGGGCCUUUCCUCCAUGUUUUCUACUGUUUUUUUUUUCCAUUUGGAUUAUGCCUAAAGAUUUCAUUGGAUUUUGGACAUUUCUAUUACCAGAGUUCACGUCUGCCAAAAUCAAAGCAAACUCUCAUGAGGCAGAAACAUUCAGACGGAGCUGCACUGAGCCCUGGGCUGCAGUCAGCAGCCUGUCAGCUAUGGAGAGACUGAAAGAAAGGAAAAGAGUGAGGGUGGAGGAUGGAUCCAAAGGUCCGACACCAUCCUCCCUUCCUCUGCCUGCUCACCCAUGUCCUCACCUUCCAUCUAUCAAUGCCUAAAGGAGCACCAGCCAUUCAAAUCAGCAGCACUCCCUUGUGACAUUUGACUAAGAAAACAGCCUGAUUCAUCUCCAUUAUGUGCACUCACUGAUCAUGAAGCACCACCAGCCUUUUGUCCAUCAUCAUUUACAUUUAGCCUCUAUGAUUGGUGGUGUCAGUGUUUUGUUCAGCGUGUGUGGUGAUGUUGUUAUGAAAAUAUGUCGCUUUUGAAUGGUGUGAUUGUGUGUUUGCAUUACACAUUCCUAACCCAGGGGGGGAGUCACCUGGGUUCAAGGGUUAUUUCAAUACUGUCAUUACAGAUGUCCUCAGCACCUUGACUACUAGACAAGAGCUUGUAAUGGGUGUCUCUGAAUUGACAUGGAAAUGAGUGGGUGGCGGAUUCACACACCUACUCUAUAUGUCUGUCUGUGUGAGGGAGGCUUUUAAUUAGUGAUUUUCUUUUCUAAUUAAGGAGGAAUCAAUUAGAUUUGUGAUGGGAAAAAUAUAGUAUUGGACAGGAACCUGUUUAAGAAUCCACAGGAGGAUAGAGUAUCAAACACUUAUUGAAAUGGACUCUGAAGAAAGAUUGAUGAGACUGUGCAUAUGACAUUCAGCAGUUUGUGGGUUAACUAUAGAGGCUCCAUCAGAGUAUUAAUCUUUACAUCACUGCAGCCCAAACGUUGCAAAGCAAUCACCUGGACCAUUUGGUGGCAGUAUCUGAUGCAUCAGUAUGAUAAAAAAAAAGAACCUCUAUGGACAUUUAAUAUUCUGGCUAAGUUAUAAUUAUGAUCACUAUUUUGCUGUCGAUAUUUUCUCAAUUAAAAUCUCAAAAAAUGAAGAA